AAGAAAGUAGCUUAAAGUUAAAGCAAAGCAUUGAAGAUGCUUUUAUAGGAUUUUCCUCUUUCUUA
rnacentral:tRNA from 1 species